GCAAAACUGUGAUGGCCCAUUACAAUUGUAUAAGCCGAGUCGCUGUUGUUGCACUGCCAGGUACCGAGGGCCUGCAGCUAAAUCCGCAUUCCGCAUGCCGCAUUCGUAACCAAAUCCGCCAUUGUCACUGCCAAAGCAAAUGUCAAUGGUGUUGGCCUUUGGGGUUGAGUGCGGGUUGUGAGGAUCAGGAUGAGGACAACAAAUUGCAUGUCAACAGCUCGCGCAGGGUAUUAUCCCCGACGAGCAGAGUGCAAGAGCGACCCCAUCCAUUCCAGGCGGGAUUAUGGAUGACAAAAACAAGGAUAAUGCAAGGCAUAUGCAAAGCAGCUGACAGACGCAAUCGGGUUGCAUAUGACUAAAGUCCACAUGAAUUCAGUGGGUGAGACUUUGGUAGUGGUCGUGGAUACUGGACGAGAUUGUGCUGGUUAGCUGUAAUACGUUGCAAGUGUGAAUGGUUCAUUAGCAUAUGCUAUGGAAUAAUAAAUAAGUUGGUAUUAUGUUCAUCAAGAAGCGAGCGGAUGGAAAAAGUGCUUGUUAAUUACUGAAUUUUAAUGGAACACAAACAGCUGUAUGGAAUUUUGUUCGAUGCCAAGUGUAAAAACACAUGUACGUAGUUUUUACAUUCAUUUUUUAUUAAUAUCAUUUUACAUCAAAUUCAGAACAAAUAACAUAAUUCUAAAUCCAACACGCAGUUUUUCACAGCGUUUUAUUUGAAUAUUGAAAUCUUAUUAACAUUACAUCAUUUGUUCACAUCUAAAUAUAAGUUAUUAAGAUUCCAGGUUCAAUGGAAACAUAACAUACAUCUGCCCCAUACCAAAGACAAUAUAAACACAUUAUUUCUAUUGUUUUUGGCUCAUACGGUCCACGUAUGUGUCCACGGCGCGAAAGAUACGCAGCUGUUUAGCAUAGAAAAUGUUAAUUAACAUCAGGCCUUGAACAUUUGCAUUUGGACUUAAUAUUAAAAUGUAAAAUGCGGUAUGCGACUAGCGCAUUUCUGCAAGCUAAGCCAAGGUAUAAGGUGUUAAACUGACUGUUGUUGCAAUCUACAGAUGCCAGUCCUGUUGACAAUGGUAAAUAACAUGUCAGCGUUUUCGUGCAAGACAAAUAAAGUUACUUUGCAACACUGGCAGCUGUCAAGAGGUAGAAAAAAAAAGAAUAUUAAGAAGUAAAUGUAAGGCAGCUUCAAUUAACGCAGUGCACACACACGUUUUUAUUAAACGCAUAUGACACAACUGCCAGGGCAUGUCAGGGAGUAGAACACCUACCCAGAGCAGACCCACUCCCGCCAACCACACCGCGCCUACCCACCGAUAUCGCUUCUGGUCUCUAGGCAAAUGACAGUGGCUUCCAUUAGCGUCAUUUUUGGUGCUGGUUGUUGGGCUUCAUCCUAUUCUUCAGCUCCUGCUACUGCUCUGCCUUUGCCUCGGCGCCGUCUCAAUGUCUGUGCAGCAUUUUGGCAAACAAAUUGCUAAGAAAUAUUUUUUAAAAGCAUUCGUGCCGGGCAAGGGAGAGGGGGCUGUGUGUGGGGAUUACACGUAGCAAGUGCAGAAGCAUUUGACAACUGAGUGGCGGGAAGAGAGUCUACCGAAGUUGUUUCUUCUGCAUUUAGCUGUCAAAAAAAAAAAAAAGAAACCAAAACAACCACGGGAAAAAAACUCGGCUAGCCUGAAAAACCACACGUUUGCAGCACUCACACACACACAGACAUACGCACGCACACACCCUGGCAAGUCUUGACUGACAGCUCAAGUGAAAAACAAAGAUGAGGAAGAAGAUGCACAAUUCGUGCCAAAAUACACCCGGGAUGUGGCCUCAAAAUUCAUACGGCACGAAAAUAUAUUAUGGGAAACAAUCGUCUGUUCCAAGCUGAGGAUAAAGAUAGAGACAGUUUUGCGUUGUUCCAAGUGGGCACACAUCUAAACGACAAGGGGGUGGCGACGUAUCUGGAGUGAAUGUAAAAAGGCUGUGGGUGAAAAGUAGUUGUGGAAAAGGGGGGAGGGGAGCACUGUCUUCAUUGGUUAGCGUAAACUUUUUGCUGCAAUUCAGUUGUCACUUUGACAGCUCACGCAAAGGUUGACGCGGGAGCUGCACGACUAAUCAGCACUGGGAACAGGCAAAGGGAAUACGCACGAGAUGAGCUGCAGGAUAGGGCCACACUGCUGGCGUGGUGGGGAUGGGGAGGGAGUUUUGGGAAAAUCCUAACUCAAUUAUUGGCAGGCACGAUACGAAACCAAUUGCAUUGAUGGCAGCUGGAAAAAAAUGAAUGAAAGACACCCAACACGUGGACACAUUCAUUUGGACUUUUAGGUCAAAAGCUGCCUGAACUGAAUAAUGCCUGAAAUGAAAGAUUGGAAAAUGAACUUUGCAAAUAUAUACUUAAAUUCCA